UACGUAGGUGGCAAGCGUUGUCCGGAUUUACUGGGCGUAAAGAGCGCGCAGGCGGUCGAUCAAGUCGCGUGUGAAAGCCCCCGGCUCAACUGGGGAGGGUCACGCGAUACUGAUCGACUCGAAGGCAGGAGAGGGUAGUGGAAUUCCCGGUGUAGCAGUGAAAUGCGUAGAGAUCGGGAGGAACAUCAGUUGCGAAGGCGGCUCUCUGGACCAGCACUGACACUGAGGCACGAAAGCGUGGGGAGCAAACAGG
rnacentral:rRNA from 1 species